UACGUAGGGUGCGAGCGUUGCCCGGAUUUAUUGGGCGUAAAGCGUGCGCAGGCGGUGAUGUAAGACAGAUGUGAAAUCCCCGGGCUCAACCUGGGAACUGCAUUUGUGACUGCAUCGCUGGAGUGCGGCAGAGGGGGAUGGAAUUCCGCGUGUAGCAGUGAAAUGCGUAGAUAUGCGGAGGAACACCGAUGGCGAAGGCAAUCCCCUGGGCCUGCACUGACGCUCAUGCACGAAAGCGUGGGGAGCAAACAGG
rnacentral:rRNA from 1 species